GACGAACGCUGGCGGCGUGCUUAACACAUGCAAGUCGAACGGAAAGGCCCCUUCGGGGGUACUCGAGUGGCGAACAGGUGAGUAACACGUGCGUAACCUGCCCUUGACUUCGGGAUAACUUUAUGAAACUGGGGCUAAUACCGGAUAGGAAUCCUUGCUGCAUGGUUGGGGUUGGAAAGCUUCGGCGGUUUUGGAUGGACUCGCGGCGUAUCGGCUUGUUGGUGGGGUAGUGGAUUACCAAGGCUUUGAUGGGUAGCCGGCCUGAGAGGGCGAGCGGCCACAUUGGGACUGAGAGACGGCCCAGACUCCUACGGGAGGCAGCAGUGGGGAAUAUUGCACAAGGGGCGGAAGCCGGAUGCAGCAACGCCGCGUGCGGGAUGACGGCCUUCGGGUUGUAAACCGCUUUCAGCAGGGGCGAAGCUUGUGGUGACGGUACCUGCAGAAGAAGCACCGGCUAACUACGUG
rnacentral:rRNA from 1 species